AUUGAACGCUGGCGGCGGGCCUAACACAUGCAAGUCGAACGGUAACAGGAAACAGCUUGCUGUUUCGCUGACGAGUGGCGGACGGGUGAGUAAUGUCUGGGAAACUGCCUGAUGGAGGGGGAUAACUACUGGAAACGGUAGCUAAUACCGCAUAACGUCGCAAGACCAAAGAGGGGGACCCUCGGGCCUCUUGCCAUCGGAUGUGCCCAGAUGGGAUUAGCUUGUUGGUGGGGUAACGGCUCACCAAGGCGACGAUCCCUAGCUGGUCUGAGAGGAUGACCAGCCACACUGGAACUGAGACACGGUCCAGACUCCUACGGGAGGCAGCAGUGGGGAAUAUUGCACAAUGGGCGCAAGCCUGAUGCAGCCAUGCCGCGUGUAUGAAGAAGGCCUUCGGGUUGUAAAGUACUUUCAGCGGGGAGGAAGGGAGUAAAGUUAAUACCUUUGCUCAUUGACGUUACCCGCAGAAGAAGCACCGGCUAACUCCGUG
rnacentral:rRNA from 1 species